rnacentral:rRNA from 1 species
CGUAGGUAACCUGCCUGGUAGCGGGGGAUAACUAUUGGAAACGAUAGCUAAUACCGCAUAAUAGCAGUUAUUGCAUGAUAACUGUUUGAAAGGUGCAAUUGCAUCACUACCAGAUGGACCUGCGUUGUAUUAGCUAGUUGGUGGGGUAACGGCUCGCCAAGGCGACGAUACAUAGCCGACCUGAGAGGGUGAUCGGCCACACUGGGACUGAGACACGGCCCAG